GACGAACGCUGGCGGCGUGCUUAACACAUGCAAGUCGAACGGAAAGGCCCCGUUGUGGGGGAGUGGAGGGGCGAAGGGGGGAUGAACACGAGAGUAAUCAACCCCCCUCGACGGGGGAACAUCAUGAAAAAAGGGGGACUAACGCAGAGUAGGUGCUGCUGCAGGGUGGGGGGGGUAGAAUUGCUUCGGCGGGGGGGGUUUGGCUCGCGGCUUAUCAGCUUGUUGGGGGGGUAGUGGCUCACCAAGGCUUUGACGGGUAGCCGGCCUGAGAGGGUGACCGGCCACAUUGGGACUGAGAUACGGCCCAGACUCCUACGGGAGGCAGCAGUGGGGAAUAUUGCACAAUGGGCGGAAGCCUGAUGCAGCAACGCCGCGUGCGGGAUGACGGCCUUCGGGUUGUAAACCGCUUUCGCCUGUGACGAAGCGUGAGUGACGGUAAUGGGUAAAGAAGCACCGGCUAACUACGUG
rnacentral:rRNA from 1 species